rnacentral:rRNA from 1 species
ACGGCUCAGUAACACGUGGUCAACAUACCCAGAGGACGUGGAUAACCUCGGGAAACUGAGGAUAAACCGCGAUAGGUCAUAAUGUCUGGAAUGAUUUAUGGCUGAAAUCUACAUGGCCUCUGGAUUGGACUGCGGCCGAUCAGGCUGUUGGUGAGGUAAUGGCCCACCAAACCUAAAACCGGUACGGGCUCUGAGAGGAGGAGCCCGGAGAUGGGCACUGAGACAAGGGCCCAGGACCUAUGGGGCGCAGCAGGCGCGAAACCUCUGCAAUAGGCGAAAGCUUGACAGGGUUAUUCUGAGUGGUUUCCGCUAAGGAAAUCUUUUGGCACCUCUAAAAAUGGUGCAGAAUAAGGGGUGGGCAAGCCUGGUGUCAGCCGCCGCGGUAAUACCAGCACCCCGAGUGGUCGGGACGAUUAUUGGGCCUAAAGCAUCCGUAGCCGGUUCUGCAAGUCUUCCGUUAAAUCCACCUGCUCAACAGUUGGGCUGCGGAGGAUACUAUAGAGCUAGGAGGCGGGAGAGGCAAGCGGUACUUAGUGGGUAGGGGUAAAAUCCGUUGAUCCACUGAAGACCACCAGUGGCGAAGGCGGCUUGCCAGAACGCGCUCGACGGUGAGGGAUGAAAGCUGGGGGAGCAAACCGGAUUAGAUACCCGGGUAGUCCCAGCUGUAAACGAUGCAGACUCGGUGAUGAAUAAGCUUCGUGCUUAUUCAGUGCCGCAGGGAAGCCGUUAAGUCUGCCGCCUGGGGAGUACGGUCGCAAGACUGAAACUUAAAGGAAUUGGCGGGGGAG